GGCCAUUUAGCUUAAUGGUAGAGUACUCAGCCAGUAUCGGAGAGGUAUAGGUUCGAUUCCCACAAAUGCCA
rnacentral:tRNA from 1 species